CCUGAUUUUUAUAGGAGGUCUAGCCUGCCCAGUGACAAAGUUAAACGGCCGCGGUACCCUAACCGUGCAAAGGUAGCGCAAUCACUUGUUCUUUAAAUGAGGACUAGUAUGAACGGCAUCACGAGGGUUAUGCUGUCUCCCUACUUUAUUCAGUGAAACUGAUCUCCCCGUGAAGAAGCGGGGAUAAAAAUAUAAGACGAGAAGACCCCAUGGAGCUUUAAACUCAGUGUCAACUGCUAUGUUUAAAACCUAAUAUACAAGCAAUUUCUGACUACUAGUUUUCGGUUGGGGUGACCACGGAGUAAAACCUAACCUCCACGAUGAAAGGAAAUAACAACCUAAAUUAAGAGCUACAACUCUAAAUAUUAAUAAAUUGACUGAUUGAUCCAAUUAAUUGAUCAACGAACCAAGUUACCCUGGGGAUAACAGCGCAAUCCAUUUCAAGAGCUCCUAUCGACAAAUGGGUUUACGACCUCGAUGUUGGAUCAGGGUAUCCCAGUGGCGCAGCUGCUACUAAUGGUUCGUUUGUUCAACGAUUAAAACCCU
rnacentral:rRNA from 1 species